rnacentral:rRNA from 1 species
UACGUAGGGUGCAAGCGUUGUCCGGAAUUAUUGGGCGUAAAGAGCGUGUAGGCGGCCCGAUUAGUCCGCUGUGAAAGUCCAGGGCUCAACCCUGGAAUGCCGGUGGAUACUGUCGGGCUAGAGUCCGGAAGGGGCGAGUGGAAUUCCUGGUGUAGCGGUGAAAUGCGCAGAUAUCGGGAGGAACACCAGUGGCGAAGGCGGUUGCCUGGAGCUUUGCUGACGCUGAGGCGCGAAAGCCAGGGGAGCAAACGGG